UUGUUUUUCUUGAGAAGAUCCAUCUCAACAACACUGGGUUGAGAAAGCCUAGGGGUCGGACCAUCGACUCCCAAGAGAGAGAAACAAUCUUUGUGUAUUGCUCGCACCGAAAUUUAGAGGAACCGAAAAAUAAAAAGUACAUCUAGUAUCGCGUCAUAGACACACUCGAGGGUGUGUAUAGCCGGUGAUAUCAUGGCAGAAAAAAUAGCCGGAGUCGAGCAGCAGUCGGCGGCGGGGAAUGUAGCCGGCAGCAGAAUAGAGAGGAGGAAGGCGGCGAAGAAGGAGAAGAGGAGGCAGAAGAGGAAGGAGCUGGCGGUGAAGGAGCUGGAAGAGGAGGAGGCCCGGCUGAACGAUCCGGAGGAGCAGCGGAUGAUCCAGCUGGAGGAGGAGAGAGAGAAGGAGAGGGUAGAGAGAGAGAGGAGGGAGUUUGAGGAGCACGAGAGGGUGUUUCUCGAGGCCUUGGCGGCGAAGAGGAAGGCGGACGACGAGGAGGAGGAGGAAGAGAGGAGGAAGGCCCUAGAAGAUGAAUCUAAACAGAAACAGGUUGGACACAAGGAUGAAAAAUCAGACGAUGAUUGGGAAUAUAUAGAAGAGGGGCCUCCGGAGAUUAUUUGGCAAGGAAAUGAGAUAAUUGUCAAGAAGAAAAAGGUCAGGGUGAAAAGAAAAGAUACAGCCCACCAGAUAAAAAAAGAGGAUCCAAAUAGGCCUACAUCAAAUCCUCUUCCUCCACAAUCUGAAGCCUUUGCUGAUUACAGGAAUGGAUUUGUGGCUUCUGCACAACAGUUAUUGGAUAAUGUUGCUCAACAAACUCCUAACUUUGGUACCGAACAGGACAAAGAUCAUUGCCCUUUCCACCUUAAAACUGGGGCUUGCCGAUUUGGGUCACGUUGUAACAGAGUUCAUUUUUACCCUGAUAAAUCGUGCACAUUGCUUAUCAAGAACAUGUACAGUGGACCUGGUCUUGCUUGGGAGCAGGAUGAAGGGCUUGAGGUCUGUAAUGAAGUCAUUGCGUGAUUCACUAUCAGACGUGCAUGUCGAGAUUCACAUUGGAGGUUCAUUGUUUCAGCCCUGGUUGGGUUGGAGAUAAAAGAAGGCAAUGUUUUCAUUGAGUUAUAUCUUCCUUGUCGCAUUGGAGAUCUCUGGCUGGUAACUAUCCGUACUCAACAAGUUUUUGGCUUGCAAGGACCAGUAAGUACUAGAAUGUGGACGCACCGAUGCACUCGUCUGCAGAGUUACUAAGAAGAUGGACAUUUCUUUUGAUAGGUAAGGAAUAGUAUGAAAAGUAUCAAAGGGUAUGUGGCCAAUGUGCAAGGCUAGCCUCUUAUAACUUCUACACAAUGGAGCAGAGCAAAAGAGAAGGCCUUAAAAAUGGGAACCUAUGCAUCAAAUCCACAACAUCAACAAUUUGAUCAAUGUAGUCUACAGCUCGACUGUGCAACAUUGGGAAAAAAAAGCUUUUCAAUCGAUGAGCAGGUUCCUCAACACCUUGGAAUGUCCUAUUGUUGUGUGCCCUCCAAAGAAGACACAUCAAUCAUAGAGGCACAAACGAUCAUGUCUUACUGUCUCUGUUUUCCAGUGUUGCCCCACCAACCAUGCAAGACACAGACAGCAUCUUUCUAGAAAACCCAAUGCAUUCCAAAGCAAGCAAGCACCAAACCCCGUAUAUUGGAUGCCACCUUACAGAGAAUAAGAUGGUGGUCGACUCUAUCUCCAUCACACAUGCAAAUACAAACAAAUUCGCAAAAGUAUGACGCCUCCUAAUAAAGUUUUCAAUUGGCAAGCUGACCCAUCUCCAAUCCUGCACUCUCCUCCUCAAACCUCGUCCCAAAAAAGCCUCUCUUCUUCCCGCCUAGAUCUGCCUACGAAGCUUCCUUGUCUGUCGCAAUACAAAAUGUAACAGUAAAUGUCUCCCUGCACCACCUUUAAUGCCAAAACAUAAAGCCCGUUACCUGCCCAUUUUGAGGCUUACCACCUUAGAAAAAUUAUCCCACGGAACCUAAUCGAUUUAGGGUUACCAUACAUUCUUGGGACUCCCUCUGCCCCCUAUUGCUUGUCAUAUACUGAGAACUUCCCAUUUCUUAAGGGGACAUGCAAUUCAUGCAUGCAUCUUUAGAAAGUUUGAUUAGAAUACCCAUUAUUCUCUACUUUUGAGACUACUUUUCAUCAUUAAUGAGGGUUAGUUUGUGGAAUUUUAUGCGCUUUUUGCUUUGACUUUUUAAAGAGGACUAAUAUUUUGGGACAUUCCAAAGAGGAAUAGCGGACCAGCAGUAUGGGACAUGGGAAGUAGUUCUUACUCCUUUCUUUUAAGGACUCUGCCGCUAACUUAUGUUUUGGGGGACUCUAAUGGAGCAGGGUAAUGUCCCAGGAGGGUGUCGUACAUUUGAUGUAGAGAAUUUCAUUUGCCUUUGAACUCUAAUCCGCUACACUUGCGAACUUAAUCCUGAAAAGCCUCAUCCAAGUAAUGAGGUGCUGUUAAGUCUAAUGCAUUUAUUCCCAGAUAUACUUAUGAGCAAAUGCUUCAUAUUCCUUAAUACAUACUAACACUUGUAUUUGCUGUUCAUUUAAAUGCUUCAUAUUCCUUCACACAUACUAACACUUGUAUUUGUUGUUCAUUUCCUUGACUAUUAACCUAAUUCUAACAUUAGAUGUUUCGUUAGGCUUAUUAUCUGUUUACUGGCCAUACAAUCCCUUUUUGAGAAACAAGAUAUUGCUAAUUAUGUGGUGAAGGGUUCUAUUUCUCUGGAAAACAUAUAUAUGUGUUUGUUUUUGGUGUGGACUUCUCUUGGCUGUUGGUGGUCUAUACAGGCAUGAAUUGAAACAGUGGGAUUUCACUCACGGUUGAAGAAUAUAGCUAAUUCUGAAAGAUAUCUGUGCAUGCACAUUUAGUUGAUCUUCAUAUGCGACCUUGUUUGGAGCAGUCCUAGAUGCAAUUAUAUGCAUAUCUCGUUUGGGUUGGAUUGCUGUUUAUCUGUUUGGCAGCUUGAGCCUUUCAAGCUGAAGGUCUCGU